GCGCGAAAACUUUACACUGCGGGAAACCGCGAUAAGGGGACCCCGAGUGCCAGCACCUAGUGCUGGCUGUCCAGCUGUUCAAAAAACAGUUGUUAGCAAGGGCCGGGCAAGACCGGUGCCAGCCGCCGCGGUAACACCGGCGGCCCGAGUGGUAGCCGUUAUUAUUGGGUUUAAAGGGUCCGUAGCCGGCCUAUUAAGUCUCUUGGGAAAUCUGGCGACUCAAUCGUCAGGCGUUCAAGAGAUACUGGUAGGCUUGGGACCGGGAGAGGUGGGAGGUACUCCAGGGGUAGGGGUGAAAUCUCGUAAUCCUUGGGGGACCACCGAUGGCGAAGGCAUCCCACCAGAACGGGUCCGACGGUGAGGGACGAAAGCUGGGGGCACGAACCGG
rnacentral:rRNA from 1 species